UAAAGAUGGAGUUGUGUAUAGAAAGUACAAGAGCGUUAAGUGUAGUAUGAAAUAAUGUGAGAGAUGGCAGAUAAAGGUAUAGAGAAGAGCGUAUCAGGGGAAGGAAAGACCCACUGUAAGAAACGAAGAAAAACGAAGCGGAAGGUAUACAGUCUUGGGUCUUCAAGGUUUACUGGGAUUGUGGUGGAUCUUGGGAGCGGAUGAUGGUAUUCAUAAUCUUGGGUGACAAUUCAAGCCAGGUUUGCAGAAUAAGAGAUGGCAGCAUAUCUCCAUAUCUCCAGAAUGGACGAGGUGGUAGAUUUUUUCAGCAUGUAGGAGGUACUUCUAGCGGGAGGUGUAGUUAGCACUGAAGUUGAUGUUGUCUUUAAGAUGGUCGAGGAGGAAGGGAAAACAAUUGGACAGACGUCCCUUCUAUUUUUAAAGCUUGGAGUGUAAUAUAAAUAAGAAAGGCUAAUGGGGAAGAAACUAAGAAAUUGGAAUGAUAAAAAUAUAAAUAUAAUAAUAUAUARGGAGGUAAAUAUAGUGAAAGGGUAAGCUAAACGAGAGCGGUGAAGCCGCUGAAAAAGGAACGAGAAAAUAAUAAUAUAAUAUAGUAAUAAUAAUAUCAUAGCAUAAAAAUAUAAUAAUACUACCAUGAUAUGGUAUAUAUUUUAUAUAUAUAUAUAUAUAUAGUAAAUGUGUAUUAUGUAAAAGAUGUAUUAAUAGAAGGAGGUGUAAACGGUUGUAGAUUGAAGUAAUAAAAU